CAGGAUGAACGCUGGCGGCGUGCCUAAUACAUGCAAGUCGAGCGAACAGAUAAGGAGCUUGCUCCUUUGACGUUAGCGGCGGACGGGUGAGUAACACGUGGGUAACCUACCUAUAAGACUGGGAUAACUUCGGGAAACCGGAGCUAAUACCGGAUAACAUUUGGAACCGCAUGGUUCUAAAGUGAAAGAUGGUUUUGCUAUCACUUAUAGAUGGACCCGCGCCGUAUUAGCUAGUUGGUAAGGUAACGGCUUACCAAGGCGACGAUACGUAGCCGACCUGAGAGGGUGAUCGGCCACACUGGAACUGAGACACGGUCCAGACUCCUACGGGAGGCAGCAGUAGGGAAUCUUCCGCAAUGGGCGAAAGCCUGACGGAGCAACGCCGCGUGAGUGAUGAAGGGUUUCGGCUCGUAAAACUCUGUUAUUAGGGAAGAACAAACGUGUAAGUAACUGUGCACGUCUUGACGGUACCUAAUCAGAAAGCCACGGCUAACUACGUGCCAGCAGCCGCGGUAAUACGUAGGUGGCAAGCGUUAUCCGGAAUUAUUGGGCGUAAAGCGCGCGUAGGCGGUUUCUUAAGUCUGAUGUGAAAGCCCACGGCUCAACCGUGGAGGGUCAUUGGAAACUGGGAAACUUGAGUGCAGAAGAGGAAAGUGGAAUUCCAUGUGUAGCGGUGAAAUGCGCAGAGAUAUGGAGGAACACCAGUGGCGAAGGCGACUUUCUGGUCUGUAACUGACGCUGAUGUGCGAAAGCGUGGGGAUCAAACAGGAUUAGAUACCCUGGUAGUCCACGCCGUAAACGAUGAGUGCUAAGUGUUAGGGGGUUUCCGCCCCUUAGUGCUGCAGCUAACGCAUAAGCACUCCGCCUGUUAGACUCGGCUUUGGG
rnacentral:rRNA from 2 species